GACGAACGCUGGCGGCGUGCCUAAUACAUGCAAGUCGAACGAGAGCGACCGGUGCUUGCACUGGUCAAUCUAGUGGCGAACGGGUGAGUAACACGUGGGUAACCUGCCCAUCAGAGGGGGAUAACAUCCGGAAACGGAUGCUAAAACCGCAUAGGUCUUCGAACCGCAUGGUUUGAAGAGGAAAAGAGGCGCAAGCUUCUGCUGAUGGAUGGACCCGCGGUGCAUUAGCUAGUUGGUGAGGUAACGGCUCACCAAGGCCGUGAUGCAUAGCCGACCUGAGAGGGUGAUCGGCCACAUUGGGACUGAGACACGGCCCAAACUCCUACGGGAGGCAGCAGUAGGGAAUCUUCCGCAAUGGACGCAAGUCUGACGGAGCAACGCCGCGUGGGUGAAGAAGGUUUUCGGAUCGUAAAACUCUGUUGUUAGAGAAGAACAAGUGCUAGAGUAACUGUUAGCGCCUUGACGGUAUCUAAACAGAAAGCCACGGCUAACUACGUG
rnacentral:rRNA from 1 species